rnacentral:rRNA from 1 species
UACGUAGGGUGCGAGCGUUGUCCGGAUUUAUUGGGCGUAAAGAGCGUGUAGGCGGCCAAACAGGUCAGCUGUGAAAACUCGAGGCUCAACCUCGAGACGUCGGUUGAAACCGUUUGGCUAGAGUCCGGAAGAGGAGAGUGGAAUUCCCGGUGUAGCGGUGAAAUGCGCAGAUAUCGGGAAGAACACCCGUGGCGAAGGCGGCUCUCUGGGACGGUACUGACGCUGAGACGCGAAAGCGUGGGGAGCGAACAGG